GAUGAACGCUGGCGGCGUGCCUAAUACAUGCAAGUCGAGCGAACGGACGAGAAGCUUGCUUUUCUGAUGUUAGCGGCGGACGGGUGAGUAACACGUGGAUAACCUACCUAUAAGACUGGGAUAACUUCGGGAAACCGGGGCUAAUACCGGAUAAUAUUUUGAACCGCAUGGUUCAAAAGUGAAAGACGGUCUUGCUGUCACUUAUAGAUGGAUCCGCGCUGCAUUAGCUAGUUGGUAAGGUAACGGCUUACCAAGGCAACGAUGCAUAGCCGACCUGAGAGGGUGGUCGGCCACACUGGAACUGAGACACGGUCCAGACUCCUACGGGAGGCAGCAGUAGGGAAUCUUCCGCAAUGGGCGAAAGCCUGACGGAGCAACGCCGCGUGAGUGAUGAAGGUCUUCGGAUCGUAAAACUCUGUUAUUAGGGAAGAACAUAUGUGUAAGUAACUGUGCACAUCUUGACGGUACCUAAUCAGAAAGCCACGGCUAACUACGUG
rnacentral:rRNA from 1 species